UGUGUAUGCAAUUUUAUGUAUCUAAACACUGUCUUAAUUGACAAGAUUAUGGACAAAAAUAUGACAAACUUUGAAAAGUUAUACUGCAUUGUAUAAUAAAUAUUAUUCUUUAUAUCAUGUAUACAAUCAUAUUAACCACUAACUCAUCGUAUGUACAUGCAUUGGAUCGUCAAAAAGGUAAAAUCACAAAAAUACUGAACUCCUAGAAAAACUCAAUCGGAAAGGCCCUAAUCACAUGGCAAACUCAAAUGACAAACCACAUCAAACGAAUGGACAACAACUGUCAUAAUCCUGACUUGGUAGAAAAUGAUCAAUUGAACCUGAUUUCAUAGCGCUUAACCUCUCACUUGUAC
rnacentral:lncRNA from 1 species